UAGGGAAUCUUCGGCAAUGGACGAAAGUCUGACCGAGCAACGCCGCGUGAGUGAAGAAGGUUUUCGGAUCGUAAAACUCUGUUGGUAGAGAAGAACGUUGGUGAGAGUGGAAAGCUCAUCAAGUGACGGUAAUACCCAGAAAGGGACGGCUAACUACGUGCCAG
rnacentral:rRNA from 1 species